UUUGAAUACCUUGAAUUGCCUAGCUACUUAGUUUUAUAAGAUGAACAUGGUUUUCUUCCUAUCCUUAUAAACAGUCAGCAGUCUCCUGGAUAAUUCAUGUGGUGUUCUUGUCUGCAGGUUUACUAUGUCUACGGCUUCAUGCUUCUUGUCUUUGUAAUUCUGAUCAUUGUCACCGUUUGUGUGACGAUUGUGGGAACAUAUUUCUUACUGAAUGCCGAAAACUACCAUUGGCAAUGGACUUCGUUCUUCUCUGCAGCUUCCACCGCUCUAUAUGUAUACUUCUAUUCUAUAUACUACUAUCAUGUCAAGACUAAGAUGUCGGGCUUCUUCCAGACCAACUUUUAUUUUGGAUUCACUCUGAUGUUCUGUCUCGGUCUGGGAAUCCUCUGUGGUGCCGUUGGAUAUCUGGGCUCCAACUUGUUUGUGAGGAGAAUUUACAGGAAUAUCAAAUGUGAUUAAUUCUAGAUUAUACAGAGUUUGUUGGUUUUGCUUGGUGCAUGAUAAGUUAACUCGAAUCGGGAGAUAAUGGAAUGAACAAGCUCUGCAGCAUCGAAGAGGAUCUUUUUUUGCAGUUAUGAAAUGUAUUGAUGGUUGCCUAUAGAUUUGGACUGUUGAUUACUAAACACCAUUUUGGAUUCUCCCUUUACAUCAAAAUCUCAGCUUGUAAAAAUCUUGCCUCUUUAGGCAUUUGUGACCUUUCUCUAUUUUCAUUUUAUGUAGACAUUUCACUCCCAAAA